rnacentral:misc_RNA from 1 species
AAAUCGCGAUAUGUAGUGUGAUCUGCCUAUAGUGAAUCAUCAAAUUUUUGAACGCAUCUUGCACCCCUGGGUAUUCCUGGGGGUACGCCUGUUUCAGUAUCAUUUUAUCUUCCCUUAUUCAUUUAUUUGGAUGGGAAAAAUCACAAUUGGCCCUUGAGACCUGGAAAAGUCUAUGACUUUUUUCAGCUUCACGGCUUGAAUAUUUGGCUUUAUUUCUUAGCGAAUACCCUUUGGUAGAAUUUUUCUGCUUUAAAGCUGUUGCUAAUAAAAUGGUCGGUUUGCCUUCUUUCAUAGGAAGACAACCAUAUUUCUUGAUCUGAAAUCAGGCGGGAUUACCCGCUGAACUUAA